AGUGAACGCUGGCGGCGUGCUUAACACAUGCAAGUCGAACGAGAACGGAAUAUAGCUUGCUAUAUUUGUCAGCUAAGUGGCGCACGGGUGAGUAAUGUAUAGAUAACCUGCCCUUAAGAAAGGAAUAACAGUUGGAAACGACUGCUAAUGCCCUAUAUGCCUUUAAUACAUAAGUAUGCAAGGGAAACGCUUUAGUGCUUAAGGAUGGGUCUGUAUGGUAUCAGCUUGUUGGUGAGGUAAUGGCUCACCAAGGCUAUGACGCCUAACUGGUUUGAAAGGAUGAUCAGUCACACGGGAACUGAGACACGGGCCAGACUCCUACGGGAGGCAGCAGUGGGGAAUAUUGCACAAUAGACGAAAGUCUGAUGCAGCAACGCCGCGUGGAGGAUGACACAUUUCGGUGCGUAAACUCCUUUUAUAUAGGAAGAUAGUGACGGUACUAUAUGAAUAAGCACCGGCUAACUCCGUGCCAGCAGCCGCCGUAA
rnacentral:rRNA from 1 species